GACCUCGUAGCUCAGUUGGCAGAGCAUUGGGCUAGUAUUCCAAAGGUCGUAGGUUCGAUUCCCACCGCGACCA
rnacentral:tRNA from 1 species